GUGCUCACCUAGGCAGCACAUAAACCAAAACUGGAUCAAUGCCGAGGAGGAAAAAACGUACAUGGCCCCUGUGCGAGAAUGACAUGCAAAUUUGGGAAAUGUCCUAUAUUUUU
rnacentral:snRNA from 1 species